rnacentral:lncRNA from 1 species
GCUUUGCCUGGCUUUCUUUUGGAUCACUUGUUCUGGAAGAAGCCAGCUGCCAUGCUGUAAGGACACUCAAGCCGUUUCCCCACGUGGGAACAGCCAACAUCAACUUGCUAGCCAUACAAGUGAGGCAUCUUGGGAGCAGAUCUUCUAGUCCCCAUGAAGCCUUUCGAAGACUACAGCCCUGCUAACUUUUUCACUGCAACCUCAUGAGACAUCACAGCCACCACCGAGCCGUCCCCACCGAGGAGAGGGGAGACAGGGAGGCAGUGAGCAAACGACGCUGCCCUCAGGAGCCACAGUUCUUCACCUUCUGCUCUGUGACGGCCUGGAGAGCGGGGCCAGCAGAGCGGGGCCAGCAUUCCCAACAGGCCUUUCCAGCCAACACGGAAAGGAACCAAGGAGCCAGCCAGAGGACAAGCUCUUUCCGCCAUUUCCUGGUCUGCUGUACUGCUCCUUCCUUCCAAAGGAGGCAAAUGCUGUGAGAGGAGAAGAGCCAGCCAUGCAAAGGUCUGAGAGGAGAGUAUUUCAGGCAGAGGAAACCACAAGCGCAAAGGCCCUGAGGCUGCAAAGAGCUCGGUUCCAUAAACCCCCGGAAAGCCAGUAUGGCUCCAGCACAGGGUGGAAGAGAAGACUGACGUGUGAUGAAGAUACAAGGAGAAGAUGGCCACCCGCAAACCACGAGGAGUACUCUCACCAGACACCAGAUCUACUGGUACCCUGAUCUUGGACCUCCCAGCCUCCAGGCUAUGACAGAAAAAUGUUUGUUGUUUAAGCCACCCUGUCUAUGGUAUUCCGUUAUAGCAGCCCGAACUAAAGACAUAGGCAUAUUUUAAGUAUCUUUUAACACUGGCCUCCUCUCAACGAGAUUUCUCCAUCUGGCCUGCCCAAAGAACUCCAUGUGGUGAAGCUUUUUACUGUGGCCCAGGCAGCAGUACAUCAUCC